rnacentral:rRNA from 1 species
UACGAAGGGGGCUAGCGUUGCUCGGAAUCACUGGGCGUAAAGCGCACGUAGGCGGAUUUUUAAGUCAGGGGUGAAAUCCUGGAGCUCAACUCCAGAACUGCCUUUGAUACUGGGAAUCUCGAGUCCGGAAGAGGUGAGUGGAACUGCGAGUGUAGAGGUGAAAUUCGUAGAUAUUCGCAAGAACACCGGUGGCGAAGGCGGCUCACUGGCCCGAUACUGACGCUGAGGCACGAAAGCGUGGGGAGCAAACAGGG